rnacentral:rRNA from 1 species
UGGGGAAUAUUGCACAAUGGGCGCAAGCCUGAUGCAGCCAUGCCGCGUGUAUGAAGAAGGCCUUCGGGUUGUAUAGUACUUUCAGUCGGGAGGAAGGUGGUAAGGUUAAUAACCUUAUCAAUUGACGUUACCGACAGAAGAAGCACCGGCUAACUCCGUGCCAGCAGCCGCGGUAAUACGGAGGGUGCAAGCGUUAAUCGGAAUUACUGGGCGUAAAGCGCACGCAGGCGGUUGAUUGAGUCAGAUGUGAAAUCCCCGGGCUUAACCCGGGAAUUGCAUCUGAUACUGGUCAGCUAGAGUCUUGUAGAGGGGGGUAGAAUUCCAUGUGUAGCGGUGAAAUGCGUAGAGAUGUGGAGGAAUACCGGUGGCGAAGGCGGCCCCCUGGACAAAGACUGACGCUCAGGUGCGAAAGCGUGGGGAGCAAACAGG